UUUUUUUUAUCGUACAUCUUAUGUUACCUACAUACACUAAAGUAAGGACUACUUAAUUCUAACGAGAAUCAGAUUAAAUAGGUCGAUCAAAAAUCUCGGAGAAGAAACAAUGACGGUAUCUGAGGAAUAAACAUCGGCUAACUCUGUGCCAGCAGCCGCGGUAAGACAGAGGAUGCAAGCGUUAUCCGGAAUGAUUGGGAGUAAAAUGUCUCUAGGUGGCUUUUCAAGUCCGCCGUCAAAUCCCAUGGCUCAACCCUGGACAGGCGGUGGAAACUACCAAGCUGGAGUAUGGUAGGGGCAGAGGGAAUUUCCGGUGGAACAUCCUGAAAUACCUGAAAAGGACUAAGGAUAUGUUUCUCAUAUAUGGAGGUGACAAAGAGCUAGUCGUAAAUGGUUACGUCGAUGCAAGCUUUGACACUGAUCUGGACAAUUCUAAAUCGCAAACCGGAUACGUAUUUU
rnacentral:ncRNA from 1 species